CAACAUUUGUAACAAAGAUUCUUUAAUUCGGUAUAAAAUUUUUUCUUACUUAUUGCUUUAAAUUUCGUCUUGGUUGUAAUUAUUGUUAUUCCGAAUAUUAAUAUAAAAUAAACCUUGCUAACAGAAAAUAUGUAUGUAUAAGUAAAAUAUUUUACUAUCACCACCUUUUGUGAGUUUGCCUUGGUUUAAAGCUGUCAGUUUUAAAAUGUCAAGUGAUGAAAAAAUCGAAGAAACGAAUUUAAUGCAAAAAAGCAGAAAAAGCAGGGAGUUGUUGCGAUUUUAUAUUAAACUGAACCAAUAUUUGUGAAUUAAAAAUAAAAGAAAUCUCAAAUUGACAGACAAAACGUAAAAGCACUAUAAAAAGCCGAAAAGUUGAUGAAGUGAAAAACUUAAAUGAUUGUCAAA